AAAGGUGCAUCGCAAUAUAUCAAUUUGCCAUCUGCACAGCAGAUGUCUUCCAAGGGAAUGACUUCAACCACAGUGCAGUUGAAUCAACAUAAAAUAAAGAGUGAAUCUUAAUGUUCUUUGAAGCCAACUUCAAGACAACAAGGAACAUGGAAGAAGGGUCUGGAGGAAAGUUGCUUUGUCACGGCAGCCAGGAAGUAGAGAGAGAAGGGAGAAACUGAGAAGGAAGACGCCCUUCAGGGCCACACCCCCGUGACCCACCUCUUCUGACCAAAUCCCAACUCCUGUUAUAAUACCCAGGAUUCAGUCACCUUCACAAAGCCUGCCUAGGAGACUGUGGGGAGUCAUUCAGAUACAAACCAUAACAAGGAAGAGUGACAGUUACUCUCCUCUGACCGAACAACAUGUACCAAAGCUUCUGAAAUAAGAGUAACUGAGAAAGUGUCCAGAGCAUUGUGUGAGAUGAUAUUAUUAAAGAAAUAGAUUUCUUAGGAAGAAAUUUCCCAAAUGGGCUAUGACUAAUAUAUUUCAUAAAUUCAC